AAUACUAACCCUUCCUAUAGUUUCACCAUAGGUUGUACAGAUAGGGUUUCAACUUUCAAUAGUUUCACCAAAUCGAUCGCUGAUUUCAUAACCCACUUCUCAAUUCUUUACUUUAUUACUUCGUCUUCUCUUAUUAUCGAUCUGAUCUGAUUGAUUCAAUUGUUGAUGAUGGUUUUCAUAUAUUUAUUCGUCAUCUACAACAUUGAGUUUUGUUUGUUCAUUCAUCAAUGUUAUUCAACUACUUCUACCGUAAUUUCCUUGAUUAAUGGCAUUACAAAAGUGAUGGAUUCGACGGAGGAGCUUGGACAACUGCCUAACCAACUUCAAAUUCUGAAAGGCCCUUCCUUUCUUCAUUCUGCUGCUGCUCAAAAUCAAUCCCACAAAGAGUCUCCGAUAGAAGUCGACAAAGACAUUGGAAGGCUUAUAGGCAAGGCUUCUACUACUGUUGUUGUUGAGGAAAUGGCUACAUCAACCAGUUGUAGCAAAAUUGACUCUUUGCCUAUUAACGAGGCCCCAAAGAAUGGGGAAUCACUCAGAUGCGAUUUUGUGGAGUUCGAAACAUUUGCGAACGAUCCUGUGUCCAAUUCUAGUUGUAUGCUGGAAAUUGUAAGGUCUGAUGUGGCAAUUGAAGACAUGAAUCAGGAGCCACAAAUGGAAAACCAGAGUAAAGAUGCAAAUGUAUCCAACUGACAAGCUUGCCUAAAUAUUAGUAAUGUUCAUCAUCCAGGUUUGAUGGCUCUAAACCAAACCACACUGCAAGUAAGAAAAAGAAAAAGUUUGAACCGGAUUAGUUCAAUAUAAAACAUUCUCACUCAGAUAGAUAGAUAGAUAUGGUUUCAACUUUCAAUAGCUUCACUGGCGAGCGGCGCUGAAAUAAGAGUCUGAUUUCAAUCCUCCGCUAGAUCUGAUUCAAUUGUCGACGAUGGUUUUCAUUUAUUUAUUCGUCAUCUACAACAUUGACUUUUGUUUGGUCAUUCAUCAAUGUUAUUCACCUAUUACAACCAUGAUUUCCUUGAUUAAUCAUAUUGCAAAAGAGGUGGAUCAAAGCCAAGGCUGAAGAGUUGGGUUGUGAGCCCACGUUAGAUGAGCUCUUUGUAAAAACUCACACCAAAAGGAAGAACCCACGUUACUAUUUCAACAACCGUAAUUUCCUUGAUUAAUCUUAUUUUACAAAGGGAAUGAUUACUUUGAUCUAGCAGCGGCUCUUUCAUGUCCUCCAGCUCAUUCAAGUUAACUGUAAUUUCCUUUGACCUUUCUUUUUGUAAGCAAAUCGAUAAAACAAAAAAUUAUAUUAGUUGUAUUAUUUUAUUCAAAAGUUGUAAAAGGUUGUGUUUAACUAGUAAUGAAAUCAUGUUUAUAAAGUAGUGUUGUUUCUACUACUAACAUCAAGAACAAUAUAACGAUCUUCGUCUACAAGUAUAUAUGUUAUUCAAAA